AAGGAUUUAAGUUAAAAAAACUAGUAACCUUCAAAGUUAAAUAUAGAUAUAUCAUCUAAGCCUUAA
rnacentral:tRNA from 1 species